ensembl:lncRNA
CAAAGCUGUGCAGAAAGAAUCUGAGGGAUGAUACAGAGGAGUGAUCGUGUCCAGCCUGACUGAGACCAUGUGCUCCAUCCUGCACAGAAAAUGUCACAUGUUCAAAGCCAUCCCAGCACCUGGGGUUUGUAUAAGUGCAGCUGCUGGUGGGGAGAUAGUCUCACUCUUCUAUAUAAAGAGUCAGCAGGCAGCAGAUCUUCAUCUGUGAUCUCCUCCAUCAUCACGUCUUCACUCUUCAGCAGCUAUGGCUUCACUUCGUGCCCUUCUGGGAGUGGUGCUGUGCUCCUCAUGGUUUCUGCUUCUGCCUCAGGCCGACUUUGAUUUACAGAGUCAUCCAUAAUAUUUUUUAUUUUUUAUUUUACUGCCCAUCUAUUUUCAUACAAAUGUCUCCGUCUUAUGGAAAAGGGGUGGAGCUUAUCCAACGAGGACAGGCAGGGCCCCCCCAGACAGUUUAGCAGUCUAUACAGGAGGCUGACCUUUGCAACAUGUACUUCUAUAAUGACUUCACCAUUUAGGUUAUUUGGUUAUGUUUCACCCUGGAUUUUGUGUGAUAAUAUUUAUUUUGUCCACUGAUUUAAAAACAACAAACUAUAUGAAUAUAAAACAGAGUGAACAACAAAACAUCAGCUUUGGAAACUUUGAUGUAAAAUUCUGCAGUUGUUUUCUCAGAUAUAGCAUAAAUCAAACUAACAUACAUCAGUGUGUUAUUAAUGUGCACACACACACACACACACACACACACACACACACACACACACACACACACACACACACGUGUUACAAUAAACAGCUCUUAUGCUUCUGUAUGAUUCUCAGUGCUUUCCAUUUGCGUGUCCACAGGUUGCUGUAAGUGGUGCUUGACUGCAGUUUGCUCUCAUUUCAAGUGGUUUGCU